GACGGGGGGUCCUAGCGUUGUUCGGAAUCAUUGGGCGUAAAGCGUGUGCAGGCUGUUCGAUAAGUUGGAUGUGAAAGCCUUGGGCUUAACCCAAGAAGUGCAUUCAAAACUAUCAGACUUGAGUACGGAAGAGGAUCGUGGAAUUCCCGGUGUAGUGGUGAAAUGCGUAGAGAUCGGGAGGAACACCUGUGGCGAAGGCGGCCCCCUGGGCCGGCCCUGACACUGAGACGCGAAGGCGUGGGGAGCGAACGGG
rnacentral:rRNA from 1 species